GAGGAAUAUUGGUCAAUGGGCGCAAGCCUGAACCAGCCAUGCCGCGUGAAGGAAGACGGCCCUAUGGGUUGUAAACUUCUUUUGUUAGGGACGAAACUAAGAUACGUGUAUUUUACUGACGGUACCUAACGAAUAAGCAACGGCUAACUCCGUGCCAGCAGCCGCGGUAAUACGGAGGUUGCAAGCGUUAUCCGGAUUUAUUGGGUUUAAAGGGUGCGUAGGCGGGAUAAUAAGUCAGUGGUGAAAACCUGCAGCUUAACUGUAGAACUGCCAUUGAUACUGUUAUUCUUGAGUAUAGUUGAGGUAGGCGGAAUGUGUAGUGUAGCGGUGAAAUGCUUAGAUAUUACACAGAACACCGAUUGCGUAGGCAGCUUACUAAACUAUAACUGACGCUGAGGCACGAAAGCGUGGGGAUCAAAC
rnacentral:rRNA from 1 species